rnacentral:lncRNA from 1 species
AGGGGCCAGGGCGGAAUGAUAUGGUUUGGCUGUGUCCCCACCCAAAUUUAAUCUUGAAUUCCCACGUGUUGUGGAAGGGACUCGAUGGGAGGCAAUUGAAUCAUGGGGCAAGCCUUUCCUGUGCUGUUCUCAUGAUAGUGAGUAAGUCUCAUGACAACUGAUGGUUUUAAUAAGAGGAAUUCCCCUGCACUAACUCUCUUUCUUUUCUUGUCUGCUGCCAUGUGAGAUGUGCUGUUCACCUUCUGCCAUGCUUGUGAGGCGUCCCCAGACACAUGGAACUAUGCCAGACUGACACCCUGCUGCUCCCUGGAUGUCACUGGAAUCACUCUCAGAAGUCACAGAAACGUUGGGUAACCGAGGGACUGUGUCUCAAGGCAGCAGGAUGAUUAUGGUGAUGUGUGUGCCACCAGUGCGAGUGUGGCUACGAUGUUCUUCAUCUCAAAGAAUGCCAUGGACAACUCAUGCGAUGGCUCCCCAUGGGAGCUGGAUUCCAGUUCUGCAGGACACAAGGCCUUUCUGGCUGGCUUUCCAAACAUUAGGCCUGGAGAAUAACUUCAAGUCCCUGGAGAAGGCUUUGUUCUUUCCCUGCCCCUGGCCUUUGUUCUUGGCAGAGCUAAUUAGGCUUAGUGGUUAAUUGGC